UGGGGAAUAUUGGGCAAUGGGCGCAAGCCUGACCCAGCAACGCCGCGUGAAGGAAGAAGGCUUUCGGGUUGUAAACUUCUUUUAUGAGGGACGAAGGAAGUGACGGUACCUCAUGAAUAAGCCACGGCUAACUACGUGCCAGCAGCCGCGGUAAUACGGAGGAUCCGAGCGUUAUCCGGAUUUAUUGGGUUUAAAGGGAGCGUAGAUGGGUUGUUAAGUCAGUUGUGAAAGUUUGCGGCUCAACCGUAAAAUUGCAAUUGAUACUGGCGUCCUUGAGUACAGUUGAGGUGGGCGGAAUUCGUGGUGUAGCGGUGAAAUGCUUAGAUAUCACGAAGAACUCCUAUUGCGAAGGCAGCUCACUAAACUGCAACUGACAUUGAGGCUCGAAAGUGUGGGUAUCAAACAGGAUUAGAUACC
rnacentral:rRNA from 1 species